rnacentral:rRNA from 1 species
GAGCCCUUAAUCCACUUUACACCUGUGCACUUAAUGUAGGUCGCCCUUAAAAAAGGUGACCUAUGUCUUAUCAUCAAUCCCAUCGUAUGUCUCAUAGAAUGUAAUCGAUAUCCUGCCCUAAAAAAGCGUUGAUAAACUUAAUACAACUUUCAACAGCGGAUCUCGUGGCUCUCGCAUCGAUGAAGACCGCAGCGAAAUGCGAUAAGUAAUGUGAAUUGCAGAUUUUCAGUGAAUCAUNGAAUCUUUGAACGCACCUUGCGCUCCUUGGUAUUCCGAGGAGCAUGCCUGUUUGAGUGUCAUUAAAUUCUCAACUCCAAGGGUUUCACNACCUUUCGGAGAUUGGACUUGGAGGUGCUGGCCGCAUAUUGGUCGGCUCCUCUCAAAUGCAUCAGCGGAAUUCAACCUUUGGCUUCCGGAUGUCAGUGUGAUAAUCAUGUUGCGCUGUCGUUUGAUCCCUCAGAGUCCGCUUAUAAUGGUCUUCGGACAAGAAUCAUCAUCAAAUUUGACCUCAAAUCAGGUAGGACUACCCGCUGAACUUAAGCAUAUCAAUAAGUCGGAGGAAAAGAAACUAACUAACGGAGUUCUCCUAGUAGCUGCGAGUAAGCGGCAAAAGCUCAAAUUUAAAAUCUGGCGGUCGUGCGCCGUCCGAGUUGUNAUCUGGAGAAGNGUCUAUCCGCGUCGGACCCGUGUACAAGUCUUCUGGAAGGGAGCGUCAUAGAGGGUGAGAAUCCCGUCUUUGACACGGACUACCCGAUGCUUUUGUGAUGCGCUCUCGAAGAGUCGAGUUGUUUGGGAAUGCAGCUCAAAAUGGGUGGUAAAUUCCAUCUAAAGCUAAAUAUUGGCGAGAGACCGAUAGCGAACAAGUACCGUGAGGGAAAGAUGAAAAGCA